rnacentral:rRNA from 1 species
CCCUUAGAUGUCCUGGGCCGCACGCGCGCUACACUGACAUGUUCAACAAGCCUCCUAGUUCGACAGGAUUUGGGAAAUCUUUGAACGCAUGUCGUGAUAGGGAUAGAUCAUUGCAAUUAUUGAUCUUGAACGAGGAAUUCCUAGUAAACGCGAGUCAUCAGCUCGCAUUGAUUACGUCCCUGCCCUUUGUACACACCGCCCGUCGCACCUACCGAUUGAAUGUUUCGGUGAGGAUUCCGGAUAGGACUUUUUUGAUUUAUUUCAAUUCUGUCUUAAAAGCUAUCUAAACCUCAACAUUUAGAGGAAGGUGAAGUCGUAACA